rnacentral:rRNA from 1 species
CUGACUCAGGGAGGUAGCGACAAGAAAUAACGAUAGCGGGCUCGUUCGAGUCCGUGCAUCGGAAUGAGGAUAAUUUACACCCCUUCUCGAGGAUCCAUUGGAGGGCAAGUCUGGUGCCAGCAGCCGCGGUAAUUCCAGCUCCAAUAGCGUAUACUAAAGUUGUUGCAGUUAAAAAGCUCGUAGUCGAAUGUAGGUUUAGUUACUAUGCGGUCUCUCAGGUGUCACUUGAGUGGACUGCGUGUAACAACCUUCCUUAAUAUAAUAAAAGUUAUGCUUGAAAUUCAAUUGUAACGAUUAUUAUAUUCAUUACUGUGAACAAAAUAGAGUGUUCAUGGCAGGCCAAUUUAGGCUUGGAUACCUCAGCAUGGAAUAAUAGAAUAGGACUUCUGGUUCUAUUUUGUUGGUUUUUGGAGUCCGAAGUAAUGAUUAAUAGGGAUAGUUGGGGGCACUCGUACUCCGUUGUCAGAGGUGAAAUUCUUGGAUUGACGGAAGACGAACAACUGCG